AUUGAACGCUGGGGGCAGGCCUAACACAUGCAAGUCGAGCGGAUGAAGGGAGCUUGCUCCUGGAUUCAGCGGCGGACGGGUGAGUAAUGCCUAGGAAUCUGCCUGGUAGUGGGGGAUAACGUCCGGAAACGGGCGCUAAUACCGCAUACGUCCUGAGGGAGAAAGUGGGGGAUCUUCGGACCUCACGCUAUCAGAUGAGCCUAGGUCGGAUUAGCUAGUUGGUGGGGUAAAGGCCUACCAAGGCGACGAUCCGUAACUGGUCUGAGAGGAUGAUCAGUCACACUGGAACUGAGACACGGUCCAGACUCCUACGGGAGGCAGCAGUGGGGAAUAUUGGACAAAGGGCGAAAGCCUGAUCCAGCCAUGCCGCGUGUGUGAAGAAGGUCUUCGGAUUGUAAAGCACUUUAAGUUGGGAGGAAGGGCAGUAAGUUAAUACCUUGCUGUUUUGACGUUACCAACAGAAUAAGCACCGGCUAACUUCGUG
rnacentral:rRNA from 1 species